GGUCCCCAGUGCGUGCGCGCGGCGCCCUCUCCCCCCGCGGGGCCGCGCCGAGCCCGGGUACAGGGGGGCGCCGGGCGGGGGCUGUGUCUGUGCUGCCCGCGGGCGGGGGAAGAGACCCGAAGGCGAGGCCGGGCCUUGCUGCGGCUGGGAGCCGCGCUGGUGCCUCUGCGGCCAGAGGUGGAGCGAGGCCGGACCCACCGGGGCCAGGUGAAGCGGAGCCAAGGGGCAGUUCCGCGAUUAGGGAGCACCCCCGUUGGCCGGCCUGUGUGGGUGCAGGCAGCCCCCCCUGGCAUUCUCCAGCCCCGUGUCAGGCCAGCCCCUCCCUUCCCACCUUCUUCACCCCUGCGCGCCCAGCCGCCCUGCUUCUUAGCCAGCGGUUGGGCUCGUUCCCCCGCGCCCCGCUGCUCUUUUGCUUUCUUUGCCCUUCCCUGUUUUGGGCUCUUCGCCGUGUGGCAGCAAGGAGAGGUUACUACUCGCCUUCGGCUAACUGGCGUUCUUCCAGACGGGUUGGGCCCAGGGCUGCCGGGCCAGAGGACAGACACGCGCCCAUGGGCAAAGUGGAGUCUGCAGGCCUGCACAGAGCACCAGGCCUCCAAAAAGGGCCUAUAAGGAGGCUCAGAUGCACCCCCUCUCAGUUCCCGACUGCAAAGCAGAGCCUCCAUAGCCCAGGGCAGGAGGUAGAGCCAGGGGCACCGCAAGCCGGGGAGUGGGGAGAGACAGAGAGGGGCAAAGCCCUCUCACCUCACUCCCACCACAUUCAGUAACGUUGUGUCCCCUGGCCAGUAGUGCUACUCCAGCCUCAGCGGUAGAGUGUUGCCGAGCUGGCGGAUCUCGCCCCUGCCCAUAAAGAAAAUGCAGCAACAGAGGAGCUCAGGGUGUUAAUGGUACCACCUGGCAGGGGCAGCACUGACUCGUCAGUGGGGCUCCCCACAUGGUGCCUGGAGGGGAGAUGCCAACUUAGGAUGUGGAGCUGGCUGGGUGGAGGAGGGAUGCUGAGGAGCUGGCUGUAUAGGUGCUGGCUUCGGGGGGUGGCAGCUUGGGAACAGCAUUGCCUCCGCAAGGCCUUUUUUUUUUUUUUUUUUAACUGCACAGCCUGCAGGGGCCCAGCACAGGAGCCUGAACUCUUUCACCAUCUGCUAGUAACACCUGAGACAGAAUGGGGUGGGGCCAGGCUGACUCAAUACCAGGCAUCUGCUGGAACAAAGGGUCCAGCCUGGCUCUUUGGGGGCACCUGUGCAUAGUAGGGUGGAUGAUGCAAAAAAGUGACAAUCCCACCCACCAAUUAAACUUCAUGUUUUAGGAUUGGAUCCAGUAAGGCCCUUCCCCCAUGACCCAGCCAGCUCCUAAACAGUUGCCCUACUGCUGUCUCAACUCAGUGGUAGGGUCUCCUCCCCCCAAACCGCUCAACCCCACUCCACACCCCUAGAUACCCAGCCCCUAAACUCCACCUUCUGCCCCUCCAUAUCAGACCCCCAUUCCAGUUAUUUCAUAUAGCUGACACAAUUUGAUAAAAUAUGGGGAAACAUUAGACUAUUCAGUCACAUGAGACCUGUCAAACCAUCUACAGCACAGGCCGUAGUUCCCACUGUCUCCCGUAGAUGAAAGGAUGCCAACAUUUAGACUUUACCCUUGGUAUCCCAAGUGACAACGCUGGCUAGAGUGUACCUAUAGGGGCAAAACAUCUCAAAGAACUCAAGUUGCUGUAAGAUUACCUCUACUUCUUCAAACAUCUGUCCCUACGGGCGCUCUGCUGCCCAACCACUAACUCAACAAGGAGGUGGAUGCUGAGGAGACAAGUCCAAGAUGGUUUUGAAGGACUGUGACAUUAAAGGUAGCAUCAUCUUGGCAAGCAGGUCAUGAGUUAAGGGAGCUGAUGACAUCAGCAACAUCUAAUAUGGAUUCCCAGGGAUGGAACAAUUGAAGCUGAUGUCCAGACUUCUAGGUGUGUCCCAGACCCUCACCAAAGGCUCUUAAAGUAAGCAGUCAUGAAAUAAGAGGGAAGGUGCUCUCAAGGAUGAA